rnacentral:rRNA from 1 species
UACGCACGCUGGCGGCGUGCUUAACACAUGCAAGUCGAACGGAAAGGCCCUGCUUGCAGGGUACUCGAGUGGCGAACGGGUGAGUAACACGUGGGUGAUCUGCCCUGCACUUCGGGAUAAGCCUGGGAAACUGGGUCUAAUACCGGAUAGGAGCCAUUUUUAGUGUGAUGGUUGGAAAGUUUUUUCGGUGUAGGAUGAGCUCGCGGCCUAUCAGCUUGUUGGUGGGGUAAUGGCCUACCAAGGCGGCGACGGGUAGCCGGCCUGAGAGGGUGGACGGCCACAUUGGGACUGAGAUACGGCCCAGACUCCUACGGGAGGCAGCAGUGGGGAAUAUUGCACAAUGGGCGCAAGCCUGAUGCAGCGACGCCGCGUGGGGGAUGACGGCCUUCGGGUUGUAAACUCCUUUCGCUAGGGACGAAGCUUUUUGUGACGGUACCUAGAUAAGAAGCACCGGCUAACUACGUG